AGACCCGAAACCCGGUGAUCUAGCCAUGGGCAGGUUGAAGGUUGGGUAACACUAACUGGAGGACCGAACCGACUAAUGUUGAAAAAUUAGCGGAUGACCUGUGGCUGGGGGUGAAAGGCCAAUCAAACCGGGAGAUAGCUGGUUCUCCCCGAAAGCUAUUUAGGUAGCGCCUCGUGAAUUCAUCUCCGGGGGUAGAGCACUGUUUCGGCUAGGGGGCCAUCCCGGCUUACCAACCCGAUGCAAACUGCGAAUACCGGAGAAUGUUAUCACGGGAGACACACGGCGGGUGCUAACGUCCGUCGUGAAGAGGGAAACAACCCAGACCGCCAGCUAAGGUCCCAAAGUCAUGGUUAAGUGGGAAACGAUGUGGGAAGGCCCAGACAGCCAGGAUGUUGGCUUAGAAGCAGCCAUCAUUUAAAGAAAGCGUAAUAGCUCACUGGUCGAGUCGGCCUGCGCGGAAGAUGUAACGGGGCUAAACCAUGCACCGAAGCUGCGGCAGCGAACGUAUCACUUAAAGCGAUUCAGCGGGUUACGAUUGACGGAGCGAAGCGACGUCAAAGCGUAUACAAAGUCGAGUCGGUUUAAGGAUACGUUCGUUGGGUAGGGGAGCGUUCUGUAAGCCUGCGAAGGUGGCCUGUGAGGGUUGCUG
rnacentral:rRNA from 1 species